rnacentral:rRNA from 1 species
ACGCUGUCACUCCUACGGGAGGCAGCAGUGGGGAAUAUGCACAAUGGGCGCAAGCCUGAUGCAGCCAUGCCGCGUGUAUGAAGAAGGCCUUCGGGUGUAAAGUACUUCAGCAGUGAGGAAGGUGGAUAUGUUAAUAGCAUAUUCAUUUGACGUUAGCUGCAGAAGAAGCACCGGCUAACUCCGUGCCAGCAGCCGCGGUAAUACGGAGGGUGCGAGCGUUAAUCGGAAUUACUGGGCGUAAAGCGCAUGCAGGUGGUUUGUUAAGCGAGAUGUGAAAGCCCCGGGCUCAACCUGGGAACUGCAUUUCGAACUGGCAGACUAGAGUCUUGUAGAGGGGGUAGAAUUCCAGGUGUAGCGGUGAAAUGCGUAGAGAUCUGGAGGAAUACCGGUGGCGAAGGCGGCCCCCUGGACAAAGACUGACGCUCAGGCACGAAAGCGUGGGGAGCAAACAGGAUUAGAUACCCUGGUAG